rnacentral:rRNA from 1 species
UGAGUAACCUGCCCUUAACUCUGGGAUAAGCCUGGGAAACUGGGUCUAAUACCGGAUAUGACUCCUCAUCGCAUGGUGGGGGGUGGAAAGCUUUUUGUGGUUUUGGAUGGACUCGCGGCCUAUCAGCUUGUUGGUGAGGUAAUGGCUCACCAAGGCGACGACGGGUAGCCGGCCUGAGAGGGUGACCGGCCACACUGGGACUGAGACACGGCCCAGACUCCGUACGGGAGCAG